UCUGAGACAUUCUAACGUUUGGAAAAUAUUCUGGUUUGGCUGUACUGUUGAAUAUGUGUGUUUUAGUGUUAAACUGUUGAUUAGGAAAAGGUCAUAGUGUAUUGAUCAUUUUCCCUUGUAUAUUUCUCUUUUUAUUUCCUCCAGGUGUCACCACUUCAUCCACGAUCGCAGAGUCUUCAUACAGUGAAGUAGUUCUGUAGUUCUCAAUCGCAGUGACUGAGUCCCUGAUUUGAAGGCAUCAUCCGCAGUCAGAGAAAGAUGAUCACAGAGACAUUGUCUGCGAUUACAGAGACGUAGUCCACCAUUGCAGAGACGUCAUCCACAAUCACAGACAUGUAGUCCGCGUUCGCAGAGUCUACAUACAGUGAAGAAGUUCUCUGAGACCAAGACAGAGGCCUCCAGGUUUCACCACUUCAUCCAUGAUCACAGAGAGUCUUCAUACAAUGAAGUUCUUUGCCUCCAGGUGUCACCUCUUCACCAUGACAUCGUCCACAAUCUCCAAGACAUUGUCGACGAUCAGAGAUAUUGUCCAUGACCUCAGAAACAUUGUCUGCGAUCACAGAGACGUAGCCCACCAUUGCAGAGACAUCGUUCACGAUCACAGACACGUAGUCUGCGCUCGCAGAGUCUACAUACAGUGAAGAAGUUCUCUGAGACCAAGACAGAGGCCUCCAGGUUUCACCACUUCAUCCAUGAUCACAGAGAGUCUUCAUACAAUGAAGUUCUUUGCCUCCAGGUGUCACCACUUCACCAUGACAUCGUCCACAAUCUCCAAGACAUUGUCUACGAUCAGAGAUAUUGUCCAUGACCUCAGAAACAUUGUCUGCGAUCACAGAGACAUAGUCCACCAUUGCAGAGACAUCGUUCAUGAUCACAGACACGUAGUCUGUGCUCGCAGAGUUGCAGGAGGCCUCCAGGUAAUUCACAAACAGCUUUACAUUAACUGUCUGAGACUGACAUUAAAUUAUGUUCAGACGUUUUUUGAUGACUUACUGUACUGUGUAUUUUUAAAUAAUUUUUGAGGCCUUACUUUACUGUGACACUUAUUCCGCUAUUUCUAUUUUGCUAUUAUUAUUUGCAGUAUCAGUACUCAAAUCCAAUCUAUUACUGUGCAUGUAGUCUUAUUUACACUGUUUGUAUUUACACUCUUUUUAUAUUGUGUUUAUAUCAUGCCUUCUUCUAUUUUUGCUGCUGCAACACUGAAUUUACUCAAAUAAAUA